UACGGAGGGUGCAAGCGUUGUCCGGAUUUAUUGGGUUUAAAGGGUGCGUAGGUGGAACUGUAAGUCUGAUUUGAAAGCAAGCGGCUUAACCGUUUGAUGUGGUUGGAAACUGUGGUUCUUGAAUGGGUUGGCGGUAGCCGGAAUGGGUCAUGUAGCGGUGAAAUGCAUAGAUAUGACCCGGAACACCGAUUGCGAAGGCAGGCUACUACGACUUGAUUUGACACUGAGGCACGAGAGCAUGGGUAGCGAACAGG
rnacentral:rRNA from 1 species